rnacentral:misc_RNA from 1 species
ACAAACUUGGUCAUUUAGAGGAAGUAAAAGUCGUAACAAGGUUUCCGUAGGUGAACCUGCGGAAGGAUCAUUAAAGAGUUAGGGUGCUUGCCGCCCGAUCUCCCACCCUUUGUUGUCGCGAAUACAUGUUGCUUCGGCGAGGCCAGCGAGACCCCCUUUGGGGGUGUAGCGGCCGGGCCCCGGCCUGGUCAGCGCCCGCCGGGGGUAUUUCCAAGAACCUUUCAGUAAUGCUGUGGUCAGAGUGGAAUUUUAAAUCAAACAAAACUUUCAACAACGGAUCUCUUGGUUCUGGCAUCGAUGAAGAACGCAGC